GGCGUUAAUAAUUGAUUCCUCUUUAGGACAGGAAAUCCUGUAGUGCUAAUAAUUGGAAACUCUAUAGAAAAUACAGCUCGUCGGAUAAUCGUAAUCUGUUUCCAAAGGUCGGUUGAUAUCGAAUUGACGAUACUGGUAACGAGUCGGUCCAAGAAUGGAAAAAAUUGACGUAUUUGGAACAAAAGGAACAUUACAAUCUAAUAGAGCAUGGACUGAGUACUGUAACGAUGUACCAUUGCGAGAUUUUCUUGGUUUCAUUGGUCAUCCUUGAUGGUAAAACAUCCUUUACAUGCUGAAAUAAUUCUCCACGCCAGCCGAAUUUGCAGUAAUUUUCAAACCAAUGCAUAUUAAAGCGUUCAAGCAGACAAACGCCUACGGGUGGGGCAAUUUCGGACGUUAGUUGGUCAACAGCCACUGUCUUCCAGAUCCCGAAACCAGAAUCCUACGUCAGGAA